AGCAGCCGCGGUAAUUCCAGCUCCAAUAGCGUAUAUUAAAGUUGUUGCAGUUAAAAAGCUCGUAGUUGAAUUUCGGGGUUCUACCGUUGGUCGGGCAAUAGUCUGUACUGGCGUGUGGAAUUUCUACCUUCUGGAGAACCAUCAUGUUAUUUAUUUAGUGUGGUGGGAAACCAGGACCUUUACCUUGAAAAAAUUAGAGUGUUCAAAGCAGGCUUAUGUCUGAAUACAUUAGCAUGGAAUAAUAAAAUAGGACGGUGGUCCUGUUUUGUUGGUUUCUGAAUCACCGUAAUGAUUAAUAGGGAUAGUUGGGGGCAUUAGUAUUCAAUUGUCAGAGGUGAAAUUCUUGGAGUUAU
rnacentral:rRNA from 1 species